rnacentral:rRNA from 1 species
GUAGGAUCCGAGCGUUAUCCGAAUUUACUGGGCGUAAAGCGCGUGUAGGCGGCCGGGUAAGUUGGACGUGAAAGCUCCUGGCUCAACUAGGAGAGGUCGUUCAAAACUGCCUGGCUAGAGGGCGACAGAGGGAGGUGGAAUUCCCGGUGUAGUGGUGAAAUGCGUAGAUAGCGGGAGGAACACCAGUGGCGAAGGCGGCCUCCUGGGUCGCCCCUGACGCUCAGACGCGAAAGCUAGGGGAGCAAACGGGAUUAGAUACCCCGGGUAGUCCUAGCUGUAAACGAUGUGGACUUGGCGUUGGUGGGGUCAAAUCCCAUCAGUGCCGGAGCUAACGCGAUAAGUCCACCGCCUGGGGACUACGACCGCAAGGUUA